AACCCAGUGUGAUUCGUCACACUAUCAUUAACUGAAUCCAUAGGUUAAUGAGGCGAACCGGGGGAACUGAAACAUCUAAGUACCCCGAGGAAAAGAAAUCAACCGAGAUUCCCCCAGUAGCGGCGAGCGAACGGGGAGGAGCCCAGAGCCUGAAUCAGCAUGUGUGUUAGUGGAAGCGUCUGGAAAGGCGCGCGAUACAGGGUGACAGCCCCGUACACAAAAGCGCAUGUGCUGUGAGCUCGAUGAGUAGGGCGGGACACGUGGUAUCCUGUCUGAAUAUGGGGGGACCAUCCUCCAAGGCUAAAUACUCCUGACUGACCGAUAGUGAACCAGUACCGUGAGGGAAAGGCGAAAAGAACCCCGGCGAGGGGAGUGAAAAAGAACCUGAAACCGUGUACGUACAAGCAGUGGGAGCACCCUUCGGGGUGUGACUGCGUACCUUUUGUAUAAUG
rnacentral:rRNA from 1 species